GCCUCCUUUGCAAGGCGGGAAUGGAAACGGAGGAAGUACCUCCCCACCCCCAUCCCCACUCCUCCCACUCUCUCCCCAACCCCACCCCUCCCACUCCCUCCCCCCAACUCUCCCUUCUCACCCCACCCCCUCCCACUUGCUCCCCAACCCCCCCACUCCCUCCCCCUACUCUCCCACUCCCUCUCCCCACUCCCCCACUCCCUCUCCCCAGCUCUCCCUCCCCACCCCCACCCCUCCCACUCCCUCCCCGCUCCCUCCCCCCAGCUCUCCCUUCUCACCCCACCCCCCCAUUCCCUCCCCACCCCAUCCUCUCCCACUCUUUCCCCACCCCCCAUUCCCCCCCAUCCCCCAUGACUGUUUUUUACUGGUCAGGUCACAGGCUUUGCUCUGACAGCCAUUUGAGUCUUAUGUCCAAGUAACUUGGCAGAGGACAGAAGCACUGACCCCUGGCCCCCAAUCAGAGAUUUUCAGGCCAACAAGUAGUAGAUUUUUUAGAGCAGACCCAAGGAUCUCUCAAACCCGGCCAGUGAGUGGUUUAGUGAGUGGUUUUUGGGUGCCCAGCCCUGCACUCUGGGCUCCACAGGCAUUAGUUAGUCCUGACAACAAUAGCAUGAGGGAGACAUUUCGAUCGAUCGAACUCCUGUGUGCGGAUGUGAAAAUGGACUCCGAGAAAAGGGACAUAAGCAACUUGCCUACGGUCACAUGGCAGAGCCCCUGUUGGAAGCCAGGUCUUGUGACUUCAAAGCUGAGCUCUGCCACCAUGUUACACUCUUCUCAAAGCAUGUUCCACGGAUAUGUGUUCCCCUAGGUCUUUCGGGAAUGAGAUUGGCCUGUGGUCAGGCUUGGUGGGGAAGUCUUCACUCUAGAUUCAGCUCCACUUCUUGGCAUGGCUCGGGGCAUGUUUACAGAUUAAAGGCUCUGAAGAGUCCUGCGGUGAGUAAAUCUGUUUAACUUUCUCUAACCCAGGGUUCCCCAAACUUAUUUGCACCUGAGAUCCCCACUCCUUUUAAAAAAUGGGACGCGGUUACCAUCCCAGAGAACGUGCUUUGGGAAAUGCCACACAAAAUCACAUUAUCUGUCGUGUUCAGAUAGUGCCUGGCACACAUUAGGAGCUUGAUAAACAUGGGUUGGAUCAAACGAACACACAUUUCCUGAAGAUUUGGUCAUCCUAGUCCAUUGGUCAGUAUUCCUUUCCCUGAAUAUUCUUCAGUUAUUCCUUUCCCUCAGCCGUGGAAGAGACUUCAGAUCUUACAGAUAACCCAUUCCUGAUGGCACCCUUGUGUGGGUCUUCUUGGCUGUGUUGGUCAGUGGGAAGAAAAUUCCCUUUAGUCAGCUUCUGAGGCCUCCCCUAUUUCAGUGGCUCAGAGGUCUCUGUUCUAAGGACAAAGGGAAAGUUCUGAGAUGCUUCCAUUCAAUUUUGGCCCCUGGAAUAUGGGUGUGGAGAGAGGUGUGAAAACCUUCCGCCAUCUGCCCUCCUCGGUUCCUCCAAGCCCCCCAGCAGGACAGUGCAACCCCCCACCCCCAGCAUCCUGCCAGCCCUCGCACCUCCAUUUUCACCUUCUUUGGCCUGCCCCAUCCCCCUCACUCCCUCCUUCAAUUUUUUACACCCUGUCUAUCAGCCUCUCUUUGAACUCCAAGCUGGACUGGAAUCAGAUCCUCACUGGGGGUCAUGAACACACAGCAAGCCAGAGCCCACCCCCCAAAGUGUGAUUGCUGAGGGCUGGGCCUCAGCCUGCUGUGCCUUCAUGUGCAGCCAGGGUCAGGAACCCUUGGUACCUGGGUACCCCUCCCCACUGUUCCUGGCUCUUGAGGGCUGCUGGGGAAACACCACCACCACAAGACUGGCAUUGCCAUAGGCUCCAGCUCCAGCUCAGCGCCACGUGCCAGCCCACACAGAAGACCUGGGUCUUAACCACUUACUAUUCUGGGCCUUCAUCACUCUCCCUGUGCUGCCGCUGACCCCAGGCCUAACACUUAGCUUCUAGUCUCCUAGUACUGGGAAAAAAAAAAAAAAAAUGAGGCCACUGGGAUCACAUGAGCUCCAUCAAAUUCUUGCUCCCUACCGAUUCUGCUGCUUGCCGUCUCCCCUGCUUUCCUGUUAAUUUUAGAAGCAGGCCAAAAUCCAGGUCAAAUCCCCCAGCCUAUGGAGUCAGGCUGCCAGGGUUCCAAUCCCGUUUCUAUCCCUUACUGGCUGUGUGAUCUUGAGCAGGUUUCUUAACUGCCUCAGUGCCUCAGUUUCCCCAUCCGUGAAAUGGGAUAAUACUUGUCUUCACCUUACAGAGUGGAUGGAAGAAUUAAGUGAGGUAGGGCCCCACGGAGAGCUUGACACAGGCCGAGGCUAACAAAGGCUGGUUAUUGUUGCCUCCCUCUCUGCCGCCUCCAAACCUUGUUCCAUCAUCAUGGACCUCUCCCUGUUUCUAGUCCAUUCCUCUCGGCCUGUAAAGACACACACGUCUCUCCCAUCUGAAAAAAAGCUCUCCCAGACUUUCUGUUCCCGAGUCCCCCUUGUCCCUUCUCAUCCAGACUUUUCAGAAAUGUUCUUUAUCAGUUCAUUCCUUCCUUUAUCUCCCUUCUGUUUCUCAGUCCAGGCAUCUGGCUCUACUAAGAGUUCUGAUGUUUGUUGGAGUCUCCAAGGACCUGGCCAAAACCUAGGGUGCGUCUCCGUCCCCGACCCCUGCCUGCUGCACUUAGCUCUGUCCAUCAUUUCCUCCUCUGUGAAGCGGUGGUCGGAUCUCCUCAUACUUCCUCUGCCUUUCCCUCUCUGUCUCCUCAGGGCUCUCACCCGCUGCUCACACAGGAAGGCUGUGGGGACCCUGAGUCUGACCUUGGCUUAAGGGUCUCCUCUGCUCUCACACUCCUUUCAGGUGAUCUUAGCAGCACCCAUGGCUUCUACUUCCACUUGAUAGUUGAUCCCUGCUGUGGCCGGUGUUGUGUUCGGCCUUCAAUCCCUCUUGAAGUUCUAAUCCCCGGUGCUACUAAUAUGCAGACAGGGGCUCUAAGAAGGUAAUUAAGAUUAAAUGAGGUUAUAAGUUGAGGGCCCUAAUCUGAUAGGACUGGUGUCCUUGUACAAAGAGGAAGAGAUACCAGAGAUCUCUCUCUCUCUCUUUCUGGGCUUGUACAAAGUAAAGGUCACAUGAGGACACAGCGAGAAGGUGACAUCCAUAAGCUGGGAAGAGGGGUCUCACCAGAAACCAACUCUGCUGGCACCUUGAUCUUGGACCUCCAGCCUCUAGAACUGUGACAAAAUUAACUUCUGUUGUUCAAGCCACCCACUCUGUGGCAACUCGUUAUGACAGACGGUGCUGCCUAAUGCAAUACCUAAGUAUACCAGUUAGCUUUCCUACACAACAAACCAU
rnacentral:lncRNA from 1 species